AUUCCAGCUCCAAUAGCGUAUAUUAAAGUUGUUGCAGUUAAAAAGCUCGUAGUUGGAUUUCUGGUCUGAUGCCCUGGCCCGCCUCAAUUUCGAGGUGAGUGCCGGCUGUGCGUCUACCAUCCUUCUAGAAAACGUUCCUACCCUUCACUGGGCCGGGUUCGCGAUCUAGAUCUUUUACUUUGAAAAAAUUAGAGUGUUUAAAGCAGGCUUUUGCUAUGAAUACAUUAGCAUGGAAUAAUAAUCUAGGACUUCGGUUCUAUUUUGUUGGUUUCUAGUACUGAAGUAAUGAUUGAUAGGGAUAGUUGGGGGUGCUAGUAUUGACCGGCCAGAGGUGAAAUUCUUGGAUUCGGUCAAGACUAACUUAUGCGAAAGCAUUCACCAAGGAUGUCUUCAUUA
rnacentral:rRNA from 1 species